rnacentral:rRNA from 1 species
AGUUGGUGGAGUGAUUUGUCUGGUUAAUUCCGUUAACGAACGAGACCUUAACCUGCUAAAUAGGAUCAGGAACUUCGUGUUCUUGUAUCACUUCUUAGAGGGACUUUGCGUGUCUAACGCAAGGAAGUUUGAGGCAAUAACAGGUCUGUGAUGCCCUUAGAUGUUCUGGGCUGCACGCGCGCUACACUGAUGCAUCCAACGAGUUUAUAACCUUGGCCGAUAGGUCUAGGUAAUCUUGUGAGUAUGCAUCGUGAUGGGGAUAGAUUAUUGCAAUUAUUAAUCUUCAACGAGGAAUGCCUAGUAGGCGCAAGUCAGCAGCUUGCGCCGAUUACGUCCCUGCCCUUUGUACACACCGCCCGUCGCUCCUACCGAUUGAGUGUUCCGGUGAAUUAUUCGGACCGUUUUGUGGCGCGUCUGUGCCCGAAAUGGGAAGUUUUGUGAACCUUAACACUUAGAGGAAGGAGAAGUCGUAACAAGGUUUCCGUAGGUGAACCUGCGGAAGGAUCAUUCACACGUUGUCCUUUUGACAUUUAAUAACAAUCAACCCUUGAAUCCCUAUUACAACAAUAAGCUUGCAUCUCUCGUUUCGAGGGGUGCAUUCGAGAAGUGUGCUGCCCUCUUGUUGUCAUUUUUGACAACAAGAGCAUCGCCUUCUUUUUUUUUCCAACACCGUUUAACUAAACCAACGAUCUGUUGUUUAGCGGGCGGGGAUCCACCUCCUCACUCUGCUAUCACGGAUUGGUUAAUACAAACCUUUUGUAUU